AUACGUAGGGGAGCUAGCGUUAGUCGGAAUUACUGGGCGUAAAGCGUGCGCAGGCGGAUUGUUAAGCAAGAUGUGAAAUCCCCGGGCUUAACCUGGGAAUGGCAUUUUGAACUGGCAGUCUAGAGUGCGUCAGAGGGGGGUGGAAUUCCACGUGUAGCAGUGAAAUGCGUAGAGAUGUGGAGGAACACCAAUGGCGAAGGCAGCCCCCUGGGAUGACACUGACGCUCAUGUACGAAAGCGUGGGUAGC
rnacentral:rRNA from 1 species